AGAGAGAGACAUGCGCGCAUAUCAAUAAGCGGAGGAAAAGAAACUAACAAGGAUUCCCCUAGUAACGGCGAGUGAAGCGGGAAGAGCUCAAAUUUGAAAUCUUCAAGGGUUUACCUUUACGAAUUGUAGUUUAAAGAAGUGUUUUCUGUUGAGGUUUCGGUAAAAGUUCUUUGGAAUAGGACAUCAUAGAGGGUGAGAAUCCCGUAUUUGACCUUUACUUUCAACUGUGUGAUACACUUUCAAAGAGUCGGAUUGUUUGGGAAUGCAGUCCAAAAUGGGUGGUAAAUUUCAUCUAAAGCUAAAUAUUGGCGAGAGACCGAUAGCGAACAAGUACCGUGAGGGAAAGAUGAAAAGAACUUUGAAAAGAGAGUUAAACAGUACGUGAAAUUGUCAAAAGGGAAGCGUUUGACACCAGUGUUGUUUUUCUGAAAAUCAAUUAAAGAACUGUUUAUGCUAAGUUGUUUAGACUUUAUCAGCUAACUGUUUAGUUUUGAGCUUUUCUUUAAUGCACUUUUCAGUUAACAAGUCAACAUCAAUUUCUUUUGCUGUAAAAAAGCUUGAGGAAGGUGGCUUGAGAUUCGUCUUAAGUGUUUAUAGCCUCUUGCCUAUGCAGUCGGAGAGAUUGAGGUCUGCAGCGUAGAUCCUUCGGGGCUAAAUGCAUUUGUGCUAAGUUAUAGCAUUUUAUAGACAACUUGUUGACUAUGAUUUGUCUUGUAGCUUACUCGCUUAUGUUAUUUUACCUACGCUUAGGAUGUUGAGCGCAUGUCUCUCUCU
rnacentral:rRNA from 1 species